UUUUUUCCAUACUUAGGCGAUUGAUUAGCGGCCCGAAUCGCCCUUUACCUGGAUGAUUCUGUCCUCAAUCGUACGCUUGUCUCUAAAUUAUCCCCUGCCUGUCUUAGUAUAACGCAACUUUGUACUGAUAAACUGCGAAUGGUUCAUUAUUUCAUCUAUAGUUUAUUUGAUGGUUUUUGCUACAUGGAUAACUGUGGUACUUCUAGAGCUAAUAACUGCAUUCUACCCCCAACUUCUGGAAGGGACGUAUUUAUUAGAUGAUACUCCCCUUUGUUGACGAAUCAUCAUAACAUCUCCCACCCCUUGCCCACAUGCUGGCACUGCUUCAUUCCAUAUCUGCCCUAUCAACUGUCCAUGGAACAUAUAGAGGCCUACCAUACCUGCUACUGCCACCGACUAAUAAUGGCUCGAUUCCAGAAAGCCAUCCUAGAAAACGGCCACCACAUCCAAUGAAUGCAGCUAGCUCGCAAAUUACCCACUCCCUCCUUAUCGAAGUAGUGACAAUAUGUCACUCCACCCAGUCUUAUACGUCAUAUACCUCCACCCAUAACAACUUAAAUCACCUAUCAAUCAACCAUUCCUUCCUAUGUCUGGAGCCGGCGACCUCCCCCAUUCCAACUCCAAUAACGUAUAUUGCUCCUCUCGCGGUGAAGCACCUCCUACUUGUACCUUGAACCUGAACCGGGCGACCGCCUCACGGCCAGAACUGACUUGCUGUNUCUUCUCUCUUGGUGAUCUGCUGUUUCGACAGAUAGCAUACCACGAUCUUUACUCUGAAUAAUUAGAGUGUACACAACGGCUCGACUCCUCAAUAUCUAUCACGGACCAUCAUACUUGAUGAGCGAAUCUAUCUUUGUGGAUGCUGUACUCGCGUAAUGACUCAUAGGGACAGACAGUUGCACUACUACUCGCUGCUACAAGUGACACUCACUGAUCUAUGAAGCACUACGUCAUGCAAGCAUUAGCCAAGAGAUCGCAUACCCAUAUCUAGGUCAGGCUACGAAUACGGUAGCUACCGUGCUAGCAUACCGUAUACUUGCGACNANGACUGNUGACUUCUCCNAUGAUCGAUCGCACAUGAAGACUCAAGUUUUGCUCUCGGAGAGACGUCCACGGUAACUGACAAUGACGUUGCCCCCACAUGAACCGCGUUGAUGAAUACCGGNACUGCCGACUGCUCAAUGUCCGUAUGAUU
rnacentral:rRNA from 1 species